AUUGAACGCUGGCGGCAUGCCUUACACAUGCAAGUCGAACGGUAACAGGUCUUCGGAUGCUGACGAGUGGCCAACGGGUGAGUAAUACAGAGGAACGUGCCUAGGGGUGGGGGAUAACUAGUCGACAGAGUGGCUAAUACUGUAUGAGAUAUACGGAUGAAAGCAGGCGAACGCAAGACCUUGUGCUACUCGAGCGGGCAAAGGCGGAGUAGGUGGUUGGUGGGAUAAAAGCUUACCAAGCCGACGAUCUGUAGCUGGUCUGAGAGGACGAUCAGCCACACUGGGACUGAGACACGGCCCAGACUCCUACGGGAGGCAGCAGUGGGGAAUUUUGGACAAUGGGCGAAAGCCUGAUCCAGCAAUGCCGCGUGCAGGAUGAAGGCCUUCGGGUUGUAAACUGCUUUUGUACGGAACGAAAAGCCCCGGGUUAAUACCCUGGGGUCAUGACGGUACCGUAAGAAUAAGCACCGGCUAACUACGUGCCAGCAGCCGCCGCGG
rnacentral:rRNA from 1 species